UCAAGCAAUCUACUCACCUCAACCUCCCGAAGUGCUGAGAUUAUAGGCAUGAGCCACCACACCCAGCCCAGGCAAUCUUUCAAAUAACAAUCCGCCCUUUCCCCAUCUCCCCCGCCCUCUUCCUGUCUUAGCUUUUCCCUGGAGUUCACUUGGAUAUGUCUGACAAGCACCCACUGGCCCCUGCUUUCAACAGAUGCUGAUCUUCAUGUAGAGCGGGUUCUGCAGACCCUGGGGACAUCUUUCACUAACAAUCCUCUAACACCGGAGACAGAGACUACAUAUCUGUAACGAACCUUUCAGAAACCGGCCCUGAAAUGCAGCCUUUCAUUAGAGAGCCACUUCUCAGCACACAGGUGGCCCUUGGAGUCUUUCCAGCAUUCUCACAUCCAUCUGGGAAGAGGAAAAGAACCCCUGAAACCGGGCAGACUUCAUAAGCACUUUAUUUUCACACAUGUCACAUUUCUGGAGCCGCCUGGUUUUCCCUUUCAUCCUGCACCAUCGCAGAGAAAAUUCACAGACUUCUGCAGGUGAGAAUCUCACCCAUUAGUAAGAAAAUCUUGCUUUAUAUUAAGCUGGCAUUUCUCUGGAGAUCUUCCAACUGCUUUAUAAACAUUCUUUCACGCCUCCAA